rnacentral:rRNA from 1 species
UACGGGGGGGGCAAGCGUUGUUCGGAAUUACUGGGCGUAAAGGGCUCGUAGGUGGCCAACUAAGUCGGACGUGAAAUCCCUCGGCUUAACCGGGGAACUGCGUCUGAUACUGGAUGGCUUGAGUUCGGGAGAGGGAUGCGGAAUUCCAGGUGUAGCGGUGAAAUGCGUAGAUAUCUGGAGGAACACCGGUGGCGAAGGCGGCAUCCUGGACCGACACUGACGCUGAGGAGCGAAAGCCAGGGGAGCGAACGGG